rnacentral:lncRNA from 1 species
ACCAUCGGGUUCUUGGUCAGCCCUUCUCCCCCAAUUGCUCAGUUUGGCCGGGCGGCCAGCUCUAGGAAGAGUUUUGGUGGUUCCAAUCUUAAUCCAUUGAAGAAUAAUGGAGGCCACUGUGUUCUUGGAGACCUUCAAUGCUGCAACCGUUUUUUUGGUACCCUUCCCCAGAUCUGUGCCUCGACACAAUCCUGUCUCAGAGAUCUAUGGACAAUUUCUUCCACAAGAUGCACCUGAGCUCAAAGAGUCUGAAUUUUUAUGUCAAUUAAUCUAAAAUCCUCUUUUUGCUUUGUCAUUCUGGGGUAUUGUGUGUAGAUUGAUUAGGAAAACAUGUAAUUUAAUCAAUUUUAGAAUAAGUCUGUAACGUAACAAAAUGUGGAAUAAGUCAAGGGGUCUGAAUACUUUCUGAAGGCACUCGACACGUCAGUGGAGGCUCCUCAGAGGAGGAAGGGGAGGACCAUCCUCAGUGAAUUUCAUAAAAAUAAAAAUUGUAAAACAUUAAAGUUAUCCUUUUUAGAUAAAACUAUACUAAAUAUAUUCACGCCAACAAAUAAUUGAUUAAAACACACCAUUUUGCAAUGAAGGUCUACAGCCAACAGGUCUACAGUCAACAGCACUCUGUAGGGUAGCACCGAGGUGUAGCCUGAGGACAGCUAGCUUCCGUCCUCCUCUUGGCACAUGGACUUCAAUACAAAACCUAGGAGGCUCAUGGUUCUCACCCCACCUUCCAUAGACUUACACAGUAAUUAUGACAACAUCCGGAGGACGUCCUCCAACCUGUCAGAGCUCUUGCAACAUGAACUGACAUGUUGUCCACCCAAUCAAAGGAUCAGAGAAUGAAUCUAGUACUGAAAGCAUAAACUACAGAUAGCUAACACUGCAGUGCAUAAAAUGUGGUGAGUAGUUGACUCAAAGAGAGAGACAAUAGUUUAAUUAACAGUUUUGAACAAAAUAAUUUCUUCAAAAAAGGAUUAGCAAGAGUCAUUUAUUUUUCACUUUCAUUAACUUAGCUAGCACAUGCAGCUAGCUAGCUAGCUUAGCCUACUCAGAGGGAUGUUAGCUAGCUAGCUAUGACUAUCCAACACAACACUGGAACCCUUCCAAGUCAAGGUAAGCUUUUGGUUUUAUUAAUUUAUUGCCAACAGGGUUUACUAACGCUUUAGUUCUAUUAGCUAUUUUGACUAUGACGUUACUUUAGCUAAUAUGGGGACAACGAUGCAGGCUGUGUGUAGUGGUUAUGAUAUGGUUUGGCUUGGAAACGUUUUUUACUCCUGGUCACAUAUAGCUGAUGUGUUGUGCAUUGAAGUCCACAAGGGGAAAAAGGUGAGAGGAGACGGUAUAGACGCGAGAAGGAAUACAACGUGGCUGCUAUGAAAGUGAACUGUGUUUACGCGUAAUCAGGGGUGUAUUCGUUUCGACGAUUCUGUUAAGUUUCUUAAACGGAAGCAAACGGAACAAAACGGGGAUAAAUAUACCUGAAUUUGUCCAAUAGAAAACUCUCGUUUGGAACUGUUGGACUAAAUGAUGACACCCUAGAUGCAGGUCAGACUGUGAAAGGCGGUAUUGAAUGUGUCACUGUCACCUCAAAUGUUUCUCUCGUUGUAAAUAAGGCCAUGCUUAUGAAUAAAUAAAUCGUCCUCCCUCGUCAUAAACGCCAGCGAUAUCCCAUAAUACGCCCCCUGAUCACCACGGUAACACGUCCUGUUACCCAGAACCCCCGAGGUCAGAGGUCAACAGUAUUGGUGUUAUCACCCUUAAAUCAGCCAAUCAAUGACCUGAUUAAGACCUGAGUAAUCAAAAGGUUGUAAAUAAUACAAAGUUCACAGUGUGUGUAUUUGUUCGUGUGUGUGUGUUCAGUGUGUGUUCAGUGUGUGUUCAGUGUGUGUGUGUGUUCAGUGUGUGUGUGUGUGUGUGUGUGUGCGUGUUAGUGUGAGUGUGUUCAGUGUGUGUGUGUGCGUGCGUGCGUGUGUGUGUGUUAGUGUGUUCAGUGUGUGUGUGUGUGUUCAGUGUGUGUGUGUGUGUGUGUGUGCGCGCGCGUGUGUGUGUGUGUUAGUGUGAGUGUGUUCAGUGUGUGUGCGUGCGUGCGUGCGUGCGUGUGUGUGUGUGUGAGUGUGUUCAGUGUGUGUGUGUGUGUGUGUGUGUGUGUGUGUGUGUGUGUGUGUGUGUGUGUGUGUGUGUUCAGUGUGUGUGUGUUCAGUGUGUGUGUGUGUGUGUUCAGUGUGUGUGUGUGUGUGUUCAGUGUGUGUGUGUGUGUGUUCAGUGUGUGUGUGUUCAGUGUUGUGUGUGUGUGUGUGUGUGUGUGUGUGUGCUCCUCUCACAGAACAGAAACAGAAACAUGGAAUAAUGUUGUUCAGGUCUACUGUAAUGGUUCUAUUAAAGACAUGGACCCAACAUUCAGACAUGUUACUAACUAAUAAAUACAUGACAACCCCCCUCACUUCCCCCAGACAACCCCCCCUCACUUCCCCCAGACAACCCCC